UACAGAGGGGGCAAGCGUUGUUCGGAAUUACUGGGCGUAAAGGGCGCGUAGGCGGCCAACUAAGUCAGACGUGAAAUCCCCAGGCUCAACCUGGGAACUGCGUCUGAUACUGGAUGGCUCGAGUUCGGGAGAGGGAUGUGGAAUUCCAGGUGUAGCGGUGAAAUGCGUAGAUAUCUGGAGGAACACCGGUGGCGAAGGCGGCAUCCUGGACCGGUAUUGACGCUGAGGCGCGAAAGCCAGGGGAGCAAACGGG
rnacentral:rRNA from 1 species